UACAGAGGGUGCGAGCGUUAAUCGGAAUUACUGGGCGUAAAGCGUGCGUAGACGGCUAUUUAAGUCAGAUGUGAAAGCCCCGGGCUCAACCUGGGAAUUGCAUUUGAGACUGAAUAGCUAGGGUACGGUAGAGGGAAGUGGAAUUUCCGGUGUAGCGGUGAAAUGCGUAGAUAUCGGAAGGAACAUCAGUGGCGAAAGCGACUUCCUGGACCAGUACCGACGUUCAGGCACGAAAGCGUGGGGAGCAAACAGG
rnacentral:rRNA from 1 species